rnacentral:rRNA from 1 species
CAGCAGCCGCGGUAACACGGAGGGUGCAAGCGUUAUCUGGAUUUAUUGGGUUUAAAGGGUCCGUAGGCGGAUCUGUAAGUCAGUGGUGAAAUCUCACAGCUUAACUGUGAAACUGCCAUUGAUACUGCAGGUCUUGAGUAAAUUUGAAGUGGCUGGAAUAAGUAGUGUAGCGGUGAAAUGCAUAGAUAUUACUUAGAACACCAAUUGCGAAGGCAGGUCACUAAGAUUUAACUGACGCUGAUGGACGAAAGCGUGGGGAGCGAACAGGAUUAGAGACCCCCGUAGUCCCUGUCUCUUAUAC